rnacentral:tRNA from 1 species
UAAACUAGUACUUUAAGAAAAAGAUUAGUCUUGCAUUCUAACAUUGGUUUGAUACCCUAGUUUAA